AUUCAUUCAUUUAUCCUCUUUGUUCAGGCAAUUACUUUGUCAAGCUGCAUUGUUGCUCACAAUAAUGACUUGUUCGCUUUGCUGGUGUCCUAUAACUUUGCCGAGAUAAAAAGCAAUGUGUUCAAGCGAUAUAGUAAGGAAAACAUUCAUAGCCUGGUAUACUUUGAUUCUGUGGAGAGGUUCCACAUUUAUGCAUUUAUCAUAUUCAUCCUAGCUCAAAACAUUCUGGAGGAAACAUUUGAUGGGAAACUGUUUUAACAUUUGGGUACUGCAGAACGCUGGUGUGGUAUUCGUCUGUGAAAUGAUCAUCGAUAUCGUAAAGCACUCGUUCAUUGCUAAGUUCAAUGACAUAAAGCCCUUUGCAUACUCUGAGUUUCUUGAAGGACCUAUGCAAGCAGAGUGGGAUUGGAGAUUUGAAAGGUGGAAGUGCGGGACGAGAACCUGAAUAUCGUGGCAGACGUUCAAACAGGAUCAAGAGCUUUGCCUACUUUCAUCAACUAUACUCGUGAUGGUAUAGAGGUACAUGUAUAGUCAUGACUUAAUUGAAAAUUUGAAAUAACAUUUGAUGGCCUCUAUGCUUCGCCUUCUAUCAGUUGUAGUGGGCGGUAAAGACUCAGAAAUCAUAGAGCCAACAGCGAUGAGGUGUGCAUUGAAGUGGCUGAUUAUAUACAGACUUUGGUAUAGAAUUUUGACUACUAAAAUGAUUUGGAGUAAGGCUAGUUUUUUUCUUUGAGGCAAUGUGUGUUGAUAAAACUGAUUGUAACUUGUUAUUCAUAUGUCUCUAGGCUAGCUUUUGUAGGCUUGGAGUUUUCUGUUGGAUCAUGAAUUUGGAAAG